rnacentral:rRNA from 1 species
UACGAAGGGGGCUAGCGUUGCUCGGAAUCACUGGGCGUAAAGCGCACGUAGGCGGAUCGUUAAGUCGGGGGUGAAAUCCUGGAGCUCAACUCCAGAACUGCCUUCGAUACUGGCGAUCUUGGAGUCCGGGAGAGGUGAGUGGAACUCCGAGUGUAGAGGUGAAAUUCGUAGAUAUUCGGAAGAACACCAGUGGCGAAGGCGGCCAACUGGUCCGACACUGACGCUGAGGUGCGAAAGCGUGGGGAGCAAACAGGG